rnacentral:misc_RNA from 1 species
AUUGAAAUGUCAAAACAAAAGGAGCACUAAAGCUCAAAUCCUUCAUGUUUGGAGACUCAAGUUUCAACAUUUUCUAAUGAUUUAAAUUAAUUGUGUGCAAUAUAAGUGCUUUGACUUUCUGAUGACAUUGAAGCAUGCAAAUUCUGUUAUCUAGCAGAAUAGCAUAGAUAAUAAAGAAGAAAGCUUAAAGUUCCUUACAGUAGCUUUCAGCAUCAAGAGAAUAAUAUCAUCCAUCAACAUUUUCUAUAUCAGAACUUGUAUAGUAGUGUUAAAGCAAAAAUUCAUACAAACUUA